rnacentral:rRNA from 1 species
AACGAACGCUGGCGGCAUGCCUAACACAUGCAAGUCGAACGAGACCUUCGGGUCUAUUGGCGCACGGGUGCUUAACGCGUGGUAACCUGCCCUUAGGUUCGGAAUAACUCCCCUAAAGGGGUGCUAAUACCGGAUAAUGUCUUCGGACCAAAGAUUUAUCGCCUUUGGAUGGGCCCGCGUUGGAUUAGCUAGUUGGUAGGGUAAAAGCCUACCAAGGCGACGAUCCAUAGCUGGUCUGAGAGGAUGAUCAGCCACACUGGGACUGAAACACGGCCCAGACUCCUACGGGAGGCAGCAGUGGGGAAUAUUGGACAAUGGGCGAAAGCCUGAUCAAGCAAUGCCGCGUGAGUGAUGAAGGCCUUAGGGUUGUAAAGCUCUUUUACCCGGGAUGAUAAUGACAGUACCGGGAGAAUAAGCUCCGGCUAACUACGUG